rnacentral:rRNA from 1 species
AAUGAACGCUGGCGGCAGGCCUAACACAUGCAAGUCGAACGGAUCCUUCGGGAUUAGUGGCGGACGGGUGAGUAACGCGUGGGAACAUACCCAAAGGUACGGAAUAGCCUCGGGAAACUGGGAGUAAUACCGUAUGUGCUCGAAAGAGGAAAGAUUUAUCGCCUUUGGAUUGGCCCACGUUGGAUUAGGUAGUUGGUGGGGUAAUGGCCUACCAAGCCGACGAUCCAUAGCUGGUUUGAGAGGAUGAUCAGCCACACUGGGACUGAGACACGGCCCAGACUCCUACGGGAGGCAGCAGUGGGGAAUCUUAGACAAUGGGGGAAACCCUGAUCUAGCCAUGCCGCGUGAUCGAUGAAGGCCUUAGGGUUGUAAAGAUCUUUCAGGUGGGAAGAUAAUGACUGUACCACCAGAAGAAGCCCCGGCUAACUCCGUGCCAGCAGCCGCUGUAA